rnacentral:rRNA from 1 species
UGAUCAGCAAUGCCGCGUGUGUGAGAAGGCCUUCGGGUUGUAAAGCACUUUUAUCAGGAGCGAAAUCUGCAUGCUCAAUACGUAUGCAGUCUGACGGUACCUGAGGAAUAAGCACCGGCUAACUUCGUGCCAGCAGCCGCGGUAAUACGAAGGGUGCAAGCGUUAAUCGGAAUUACUGGGCGUAAAGGGUGCGUAGGCGGUUGUUUAAGUCUGUCGUGAAAUCCCCGGGCUCAACCUGGGAAUGGCGAUGGAUACUGGGCAGCUAGAGUGUGUCAGAGGAUGGUGGAAUUCCCGGUGUAGCGGUGAAAUGCGUAGAGAUCGGGAGGAACAUCAGUGGCGAAGGCGGCCAUCUGGGACAACACUGACGCUGAAGCACGAAAGCGUGGGGAGCAAACAGGAUUAGAUACCCUGGUAGUCCACGCCCUAAACGAUGCGAACUGGAUGUUGGUCUCAUCUCGGAGAUCAGUGUCGAAGCUAACGCGUUAAGUUCGCCGCCUGGGGAGUACGGUCGCAAGACUGAAACUCAAAUGAAUUGACGGA